ensembl:lncRNA
GUUCAAAUUCAAGCUAAUGAGCAGCCCAGAGACCUAGACACCAAGCUGUUUCUGGUUUCUCUUUCGGGUUUCAGUAUUUUUCAGGCAGGUGUACUGACACUUUGGAUAAUUCAGCCUUCCUUGUUCCUGACACUGCAGAGGCCCUGGCUUGUUCUGUACCUUGCCUCUGACUUUGCCUUUAGCAAUAACGCUAAUAGAGAUGCCAGCAUGUGACUUUAUCUACUGUUAGCAAUUUGUCCCUACCCCCAGCUUGAAACCCCAAAUCUGUGAGAAAUCGUCCCAGGCCUCCACUGCCCCACAUCUGGCUUCUCAAUCUCUUUGGGGGUUCUUACUUCACUAACUGCUAAAUAUGGAUGGCCCUGGGACUUGUCCUUAGACCUAUUUUACUUGUGUGUCUUAGGGCUUCGAAUAUCUUGAAGAGUUUGAUGCUAACCCAGAUCUCACCCCUGAGCACCAAACAUAUCCACCUGUCCCACGUCUUCUCCCCCAACCCCCAACUGUUGGGUUGAAUAUUGAUUAUCUCAUGUUGGGAAGCCUGUAGUCUCAGCACUCGUGAGACCAAAACAGGAGGAUUGCUUGUGAGUUCAAGGCCAGCCUGGACUGAAGAUGAGACCCUGCCUUUAAAAAUAAAUAAGUGGGACAUCUUCCCCAUGCCUGUAAACAUCUCCCCAUGCCAGCCCAAGGCAGUACACAUCUUUGUUCACCAAUCUGAAAAUUCAGUGUGGUCCUUUUUGUCUCCUGUCCCCUUCCAUCCCGGAAUGUCAGCUCAGCCUUUGAAAUAUACUGAAGCUUCUCACUUUCCAUCACCCUUUGAAGGAUUGACUACCCAGCCUCUGAACUAUUGAUGGAGAACUAACCUAGGGAUCUGCCUCCUUCCUGUCUCCUCGAUGACCAUUCUGGAGAAGAUAAUCCUGUGGUCUUUGGAGGUGCUGGAGUACACAGAGGGUCGCUGAAGGGGGCUUCACCUGUGUAGCUUCCUGGAGGUCAUCACCCAUGCUGAGACAAGAUAGGACUUUCAGUGAUGUAGCUGUUUGCGGUCACUCACAACUCCUGAUACCUUGUCACAGUGACAAUAAAAGAAUCUGAGACAUGCUGAUGACACCCUAUGGAAGGCCUCACCACCCAGGGGG